AAAAAAUGUCGUAGUACAAUAAGGUGACAGAAAUGGUUAAAAAAUGUCAUAGUUUUGUAAGGUGUCAAAAAUGGUCAAAAAAUGUUGCAGUACAAUAAGGUGUCAAAAAUAGUCAAAAAAUGUCAUGGUAAUGUAUGACAUCAAAAAUGGUCAAAAAAUGACCUGGUACAGUAAGGCGUGAAAAAUGGUCAAAAAAUGUCAUAGUUUUGUAAGGUGUCAAAAAUGGUCAAAAAAUGUCAUCCUAUUGUGUGGUGUCAAAAAUGGUCAAAAAAUGUUGCGGUACAAUAAGGUGUCAAAAAUGGUCAAAAAAUGUCGUAGUACAAUAAGGUGUCAAAAAUGGUCAAAAAAUGUUGCGGUACAAUAAGGUGUCAAAAAUGGUCAAAAUAUGUCGUAGUACAAUAAGGUGACAGAAAUGGUUAAAAAAUGUCAUAGUUUUGUAAGGUGUCAAAAAUGGUCAAAAAAUGUUGCAGUACAAUAAGGUGUCAGAAAUGGUCAAAAAUGUUGCAGUACAGUAAGGUGUCAAAAAUGGUCAAAAAAUGUUGCAGUACAGUAAGGUGUCAGAAAUGGUCAAAAAAUGUUGCCGUACAAUAAGGUGUCAAAAAUAGUCAAAAAAUGUCAUGGUAAUGUAUGACAUCAAAAAUGGUCAAAAAAUGACCUGGUACAG